rnacentral:lncRNA from 1 species
AUGAGCUGUUUGCAUUAGUUUAUCAAGCAAGCACAGCAGUGGACAUAGAUUAAUAGAUUGUGAUGCAGAAAAAAAAAGGAAAGUAGGUUAUUCUCUGUAGGGGAGUGGGUCUCUUCCCAGUGACCCCACCACUGCCUCUGGAAACAUUCUCUGCCAGAGCUGGAAAAGAUUCUCCUGCGUCCUUGCUUCGGAUUAGCCAAGCCUGAAGUUUGGAUCCUUCCCCUGGCUACCAGCCUUGCCUGCAGCUAAAAUGACUGGCAUAAUUCACUUUCUGGCUGCAAGGAGCUGGGAAGUGGACUAUGAAGAAUCUCUCAUCUGCUGCUCGCUCAGCCUGUUUUCAGCAAUAUUAUCAGUCCUACACACCACAUCCAUUAUUUCAUGUGGCUUCUACCCUUUUACUCUGCUGCACAAAAAUAGGGAAAUCUCCUUUUUGUCCUUCAAACCUACCACAUGGUUUGGCUGCUUUUACCUGGUACACAUUUGAAUCAGGCCCAACUACAAUUGUGGGAGGUGAUAUCUGUUGAUCAUCCUGAGAAGUAAUCUCAUGAUGGAACCAUUUGAUCAUACUGUUCCCCAGGAGAUGUACAUCUGGACCAUUUCGGGGUACUAUUUAAAACUGUCAAUCAUUUCAGAAUGCCAGAGAAAUCUGUUUUUCUAGGAGAUAGAAAAAGACUCCUAUUUAUAUCUGUGAGCUCUCUUGCUUGGUUCACCUUGAAUCUGAACCUCUGAUUACAGAUGCAUAUUUCAGUUUUCCUUAGUGCCAGUGAUUAACCUUUAGGAGUCAUUUGGUUUUGUCAUUGACAACAAAAACAAAGUUACAUAUAUUGCAGGCUUGAUGAGUGUCCAGUUAACAACUUCUUUCUAACAGGAGAUAUUCAAAACUCAGUAAAUAACAUUCAUUAUUUAAGAAUGUCACCACUUUUGAAUUUUCAAGUAUAGCAUUUCAGUAUUACUCUGGGAGAUUUAUAUACACCAAAAGUGAACCUAAGCCGUCACAACCAUUUUUUUCUCCACAUUAUAGUACUAUAAAGUGAAGGACUCUAUGAUAUAUUUCACACACUUUUGAAUGUGCGUCAGAGCUUUGUAAUAUUCUAUGGGACAAAAAGGGCUCUGCCAAGUGAAAUCAAGCAAAUUAUGAACAUGUAUUACAGAUACGCUGGUAUCAAAGUGUAUCUUCUCAGUUCUACCCUUGGAAAGUACUUGAAUCCCUCAAAAAUGGAGAUAAUUUUUCAGGUAAUUUUAUUAUAUGUUUCUUAUGAUAGAAUACAUUUACUUUGAUAUGCUAUUAUAAAUAAACACAUUUAUAUGCAUAUUUAUUCA